UCGGGGCAAAAACAAAAGUGUUGCGUUUAUAAUUUUGUUCAGUUUAUAUAUUAUUAAGGGAAUGUAACUUAUAAAAACUGAAAUGCCACUUCUACCAUAUGUUUAUAUUGUAGAUUGUUGAGAGCAGGUCCCAGGUAAGAUGGCUGUAAAAUUGCUCCAUUCUGAUUCAUAGGGGCUCUAAGACACCAGCACAUCUACUGUUCUAUUAUCUGUGAUGGAAACAGCCAGCAACAGAGUGAGGGGCAACCUCAUGUGAAACUGCAUCUGAAUGCCAUCUGUCUUUCAAUAAAGCUCCCCAGUACUUGGCAGGUUUCAAUAGUUACCUUUCCAAAGACGCCCAGCUGUAUUGCGGUUCUAAUAGUUUUUGCAGCACUACAAACACAGCCUCUGAUUUAGAGACUAUUAACAACAAGUUUCAGCAUUCACUUCCAUUCAGUUCUCAUUUAUGUUGUUUAAUAACAAAACAAAAACAAAAAAAUCUGGUAUCCCUGUGGAAUGUACAUUAUAAUUUAAUGUCUCUCGUUGCCAUGUUCCCUCUUUGCAGGCACAGCCUGCUACAGAAUUUCCCUGUCAUUGACAUUUUGUCUUUGUAGAUACAACCACACGUUCGCCGCUGUCGGUGAGCUAGUGUUCAUGUUUGGGGGGUGCACGGAGGAUGGCUGCUACCACAAUGACGUCCACAUUCUCAACACAGAUACCCUUGUGUGGCAGAGGUACGAUGUGAAGGGGGAGUCACCACUGGCCUGCGCCGGCCAGACCCUCACGGCUCACCAUGACAAGGAUAUUUACUUGUUUGGCGGCAAAUGCAUCAGUCAGGAUGGAACAGUAACUUCAACAAAUGAGAUUAACAAAUUAAGCAUUGGUAAGUCAAUUAGCAUUAUCUCAGGUCUCACAACAUUAACGUGGGCAUUGGCGUUCUGAACGUUUAUCGCCCCCGUGAGCUAGAAGUUGUGGCACAAACUUCUAUUCAGUAGUAGUGCUUUUAGUUGGUUUGAAUUUAGAACACAUGUUAACCUAAGGUUUAUCUCAGAACUAAUAGACUAAUAGACUCUUCCCCUUUAUCGUUUUACUGUGGCCCUGUCCUCCAGCUAAAAUGAAGUGGAAGGUGCCUCUCUAUGUGGGGAUUCCUCCCACCCCACGUCAUGACCACACUGCCUUCAUCCUCCAUAGCCAUGUGUGUGUAUAUGUUUGUAUGUGUGUUUUUCUGCUUGUGUGUGUGUGUGAUCCAGAUCUAACAAUACAUACUGGGACCAGAAGUUCCCACAAAGAUUGGAAAACCUGAUAAUUAGGUCCUGACUAGGAAGAAUUUACUGUGUUCAACACAGAUAGAAAAACAAAAUAUGUGUGUGUUUGGUUCUGCCAUUGUGGGUGCUGGCACAUCUGUCUGUUUGUCUCUCUUUCUGUCUUAAUGAUCGCGUGUUAAUAUCAUGCAGAUAUAUAUAUUUGGUGGCAAAAAUGAAGAACAAGAAUUCAAUGACCUGAAGGUGAUGAAAUUGAUAAACCCAUCAGAAAGACAGCCAGUGAUGAAGGAAAUUCUGUCUGAGUUUGGGCUUCAGGGAGUCAGUCAUGGUUUCACACCAACUAAAGUCCCCAACGUAAAGUAUGAGCUCAGUAAGUCUCCGUCUUCGUUUUCUAUGAGGACGGGUGCAGCUGCCUCUGCACAGGUCACAGCCCACAGAGACUUCAACGCUGUCCGAUGCCAUGCCUUGGAAAUGAUCCAUAAAGCGUUCUCAAUGCUUGACCAAGAGUUCCAAAAGCUUGACGGAGAAAGGUCAGAGCUUGCUCAAGCUACCGCAGCUCUUAAGUAUGAGAGAGAAGCUCUCCAAGCCCAACACCUGCAACAAGAGGCAGAACUACAGGAAAUGUUGGAGAGACACAGAGCCCAGAAUGAGAACUGGCUACGUGCACGGGCAGAGGAGAAUGACAAGGAGAGGAAGGAGCUGUGUAAACUCAGGGAGGAUAUUGUGCAGGAGCAAGAAAGACUAAAAGAGGAGCAGGGAAACAUCCAGAAACGAAGCGAGCACCUCCUAUCCAUCAUGAAACAGUUCAAAGGCAUGUAAAUACAUGUCUCCAUAGCAACCAACUGGAGAAAACAGAUCUCCCGUGGAUAAAAUGGAAGAAUAGAUUUGACAUUCAUUUGUGUUUUCUGCUGGUGUGUUUGAAUAAUUAGCAUUGUGAGCAUAGGAGAAAUUUGCAUUUGUUGUCUUUUGCCAAAGAGUCAUCUUAUCUUAGAGAGGCGGUGAGGUCAGAGGAAUCAUGUUGACCUUGUCAUAAAAGGGAUAAUAUUUUAACCUGACUGGUACAAAAUCCUAGAGCAUACUAAGUGGGACUAUUAUGAAGGCCUAUGGAAAAUGUUGUAAAGGAAAGUAACAAACAAUCAAUCUGUUUUGUGUUGAAUAAUAAAGCAAUAGUGCAGCGCUCUUUGUAGUUUUGCACAUAUCUGCAGAGAUACACAUUCUGUUCCCUAAUCUUUUAAAUAAUCACACACACUUUUACAGUUUUACACUUUUCAGAUAAUGCAAUCAAGAGAUUUGAUUGUAUUGUAUUUUAUUCUAGCUAAAUCUGGGUAAACCAGAUAGAUUAUUAGGAAAUGGAUGUGUAUGGGAAUAGAUUACUCAAAUAAAAUGUGAAAAU
ensembl:lncRNA